AUGAACGCUGGCGGCGUGCCUAAUACAUGCAAGUCGAGCGAAUGGAUUGAGAGCUUGCUCUCAAGAAGUUAGCGGCGGACGGGUGAGUAACACGUGGGUAACCUGCCCAUAAGACUGGGAUAACUCCGGGAAACCGGGGCUAAUACCGGAUAACAUUUUGAACUGCAUGGUUCGAAAUUGAAAGGCGGCUUCGGCUGUCACUUAUGGAUGGACCCGCGUCGCAUUAGCUAGUUGGUGAGGUAACGGCUCACCAAGGCAAUCGAUGCGUAGCCGGCCNUGGGAGGGUGAUCGGCCCCCCUGGGACUGAGAUACGGCCCAGACUCCUANCGGGAGGCAGCAGUGGGGAAUAUUGCCACAAUGGGCGCAAGCCUGAUGCAGCGACGCCGCGUGGGGGAUGACGGCCUUCGGGUUGUAAACCUCUUUCACCAUCGACGAAGGUCCGGGUUUGUCUCGGAUUGACGGUAGGUGGAGAAGAAGCACCGGCCAACUACGUGCCAGCAGCCGCGGUAAUACGUAGGGUGCGAGCGUUGUCCGGAAUUACUGGGCGUAAAGAGCUCGUAGGCGGCUUGUCGCGUCUGCUGUGAAAUCCCGGGGCUUAACCCCGGGCGUGCAGUGGAUACGGGCUGGCUGGAGGCAGGCAGGGGAGAAUGGAAUUCCCGGUGUAGCGGUGAAAUGCGCAGAUAUCGGGAGGAACACCGGUGGCGAAGGCGGUUCUCUGGGCCUGUUCUGACGCUGAGGAGCGAAAGCGUGGGGAGCGAACAGGAUUAGAUACCCUGGUAGUCCACGCCGUUAACGUUGGGCGCUAGGUGUGGGGUCCUUCCACGGGCUCUGUGCCGCAGCUAACGCAUUAAGCGCCCCGCCUGGGGAGUACGGCCGCAAGGCUAAAACUCAAAGGAAUUGACGGGGGCCCGCACAAGCGGCGGAGC
rnacentral:rRNA from 1 species